UACGGAGGGUGCGAGCGUUGUCCGGAAUCACUGGGCGUAAAGGGCGCGUAGGCGGCCUGAUAAGUAGGGGGUGAAAUCCUGCGGCUUAACCGCAGGGCUGCCCUCUAAACUGUCAGGCUCGAGCACAGUAGAGGCAGGUGGAAUUCCCGGUGUAGCGGUGGAAUGCGUAGAGAUCGGGAAGAACAUCGGUGGCGAAGGCGGCCUGCUGGGCUGUUGCUGACGCUGAGGCGCGACAGCGUGGGGAGCAAACAGG
rnacentral:rRNA from 1 species